GACGAACGCUGGCGGCGUGCCUAAUACAUGCAAGUCGAGCGGACAGAUGGGAGCUUGCUCCCUGAAGUCAGCGGCGGACGGGUGAGUAACACGUGGGCAACCUGCCUGUAAGACUGGGAUAACUUCGGGAAACCGGAGCUAAUACCGGAUACGUUCUUUUCUCGCAUGAGAGAAGAUGGAAAGAUGGUUUCGGCUAUCACUUACAGAUGGGCCCGCGGCGCAUUAGCUAGUUGGUGAGGUAAUGGCUCACCAAGGCGACGAUGCGUAGCCGACCUGAGAGGGUGAUCGGCCACACUGGGACUGAGACACGGCCCAGACUCCUACGGGAGGCAGCAGUAGGGAAUCUUCCGCAAUGGACGAAAGUCUGACGGAGCAACGCCGCGUGAACGAUGAAGGCCUUCGGGUCGUAAAGUUCUGUUGUUAGGGAAGAACAAGUACCAGAGUAACUGCUGGUACCUUGACGGUACCUAACCAGAAAGCCACGGCUAACUACGUGCCAGCCGCCGCCGUAAGAC
rnacentral:rRNA from 1 species